GGACGAGUUGGUUGAAUAGUCCCCCACUUUCGUCUGGGUUUUUUUCGACUGGUUUUUUUUCGUCCCACCUUCGUCUGGUUUUUUUUCGUCGUUUUUUUUUCGUCUGGUUUUUCUUUCGUAUCUCACCCCGCACGUAAAACUAACCUCAAUCUCGAUCUGUUUCAUCUCAGCCUCCAGCCCCGAGAGGAGCCGCCGCCGCCGCCGAGAGGAGACGCCCCAGCCCCGAGAGGAGCCACCGCCGCCGAGAGGAGACGCCCCAACCCCGAGAGGAUCCGCCGCGCCGCCGGGGAACGAGGUCGCCGCCGCCUCCCUCGCCCGUGGCCAUGAUGACCGAUCUGGCGUGGGCGCCGCAGAUCACCCUCUGGUCCAUGGCCUCGACCAGUUUGCUAUGAUCUGGUGACGGGAUGCAAGGAGAAGCUGCUGCGGUUUCAAGGGGCCGUGAGGAUGCCCACCAUGAAGGCGUGUCUGGGAUGAUGGAGGUGAUAUCCAGGCCCUGGUGAUAUCGGCCAGGUCCCCGAUGCCGUCGACUGGCGGCGGCCACCGUGUCCUCUUCCAUGGCGUCGGCGGGGCCUUCCCCUGCCAAGCGCAGCGGCUCCUUGGCUGGAUCACCGUCGCACACCUCGCCGGCGUGGUCGGCAAGAUCUGCAUCUCGAUCCUCGCCACUCUCCAUCCUCUUGCAGGUUUAUAAAUUUCGAAAUAUAGUUGCAGCUUCACGGAAUGGACGGCCCAAAUUAUGUUAGUGUCUAUAUGUUUACUUGGUGGUGGUCUAGCGUGAGUGACACCUGCAUCUGUAACUUACCCAUUGGAUGUUGUUCGAAAUCACCUGACAACACAGAAAACCACUAGGUAUUACAAGGGCAUCUUUCACACGUUGUCUACAAUUUGUAGAGAAGAGAGUGGUAGAGGAUUGUAUAAAGGCCUUUGGUCCACCUUAUUGGGACUUGGACCUGAUAUAUCAAUCAACGUUUAUGUAUAUGAAUCCCUGAGGUCUCAUUGGCAAAUGGAAAGUUGAAUGUCAAACUGUGCGACCAAUGAUUUGCUAUGGUACCUCCCUCUUCUCUCUUCUAUGAACCCUAUAACACACGUCUCAAAUCUUAAUUUCUUUUAUCCUAUUGCAGGUUAAUUCCAGUUGGCUGUGUUAACCUACAGUAAUCAAUCAAGUCAACAAAUAUAACAAUGAUACUUUGUCUUCUGAUUUUUGGUGGUGAUUUUUUUUGUGACUGAACUAACAGGAGCUGAAGCAUGUGUUCUUAUUUUUUUAUAUGACUAGAUGCAUAU